GUCUACAGCCAUACUACCCUGAACACGCCUGAUCCCAUCUGAUCUCGGAAGCUAGGCAGUGUCAGCCCUGGUUAAUACUUGGAUGGGAUACUACUUAGGAAGACCACGUGCUGUAGGCA
ensembl:rRNA 5S_rRNA 5S ribosomal RNA